AUAGCGUAUAUUAAAGUUGUUGCAGUUAAAAAGCUCGUAGUCGGAUGUCGGGCUCGGGCAGGCUGUCGGCUUCGGUCGGACGGCAGGCUCGGGUCUUUCUGCCUGAGGAUCCCGUUGCACUUUAUUGUGGGGCGUGGGGACGCAGGCCGUUUACUUUGAAAAAAUUAGAGUGUUCAAAGCAGGCCUACGCUUGAAUACAUUAGCAUGGAAUAAUGGAAUAGGACUUUGGUGCUAUUUUGUUGGUUUAUGGUACCGAAGUAAUGAUUAACAGGGACAGUUGGGGCCGUUUAUAUUUCGUUGUCAGAGGUGAAAUUCUUGGAUUUACGAAAGAUAAACUUCUGCGAAAGCAUUCGGCAAGGAUGUUUUCAUUGAUCAAGAACGAAAGUUAGGGGAUCGAAGACGAUCAGAUACCGUCGUAGUCUUAACCAUAAACUAUGCCGACUAGGGAUCAGUGGAUGUCAAUUUGCGACUCCAUUGGCACCUUGUGAGAAAUCAAAGUUUUUGGGUUCCGGGGGGAGUAUGGUCGCAAGGCUGAAACUUAAAGGAAUUG
rnacentral:rRNA from 1 species